ensembl:lncRNA
UUUUGCCUUUUCAAGUUUUUAUUUUUAUACAUUUUUUUGUAUUAAAAAGAAAAGCAUAAUAAUUACCACCAAUUACAAAGGACUAGAGCAGGACCAGAAUAAUGAAUGAAUCACUUCAGCCUGGGAAGCAGACACUCUCAAUAAUAUUAAUGUUAUAAUACAAGCUCAUUCAAGUAUUUUACAUUUUUUUGUCCUGUUGAAUGUGAUAUCCUAGAACAUGGUAAAGACAAUGUACGAGCGUAAGGUGGAACCUUCUCUGCAAAGCCCAUGAGAGUUUUCCUUUCCUGUGAGAACUGGGCUCAAAGUUUUCUUCUGCCUCUGCCAUCACCAUGGCUGGAGGAGAGGGUGGGAGCUGGGGAGAACCUAGGGGCCCUUUAACUAGAGAGACUCUGGGGUCCUAUCCAGGGGAACAACCAAGCCUCUAGCACUCCCCACUAUCAGCCUUGUCUUCAUGCCCUUUCCCUCACGUCCAGACCUUCCAAGCAGCUUGCUUUCUUUUGUAAAUAUCAUCAAAAAGGAGUGGGACGGAGCUACAGAACAAAAACAUUUAACAACUUGACAUGGGGCUCAGCACCUCUGUCUGAACCUGGGGUCCAGGCUGGAGCAGGGCCAGGCAGCCUUCUCUUCGAGUAGCAAAUUUACUCUUGAGGCUCAGAGGGCAAACAACACUCUGCUCCUUGCUGGGCCCAGGUGGAUGACCAACCCUGCACAGGCAGAGGAUGAAGGCGGUUCCAUUUGGCAGGCUGUCUUAGGUCUUGGAUCCCAUGGGAAGAUGGUGAUGGGGAAGUGGCUUGCUCUGGUGGCCCCCGCCACUCCUGGCAUACUUGUCACAGAUACAUCGGUCCUAAAUUCAAGUGUCUUCAGAAGGUGAGGAUGUAAACUACUCUGCAACAUCAACUCUUUAACAUGUCACAAAACACACACACACACACACACACACACACACACUCCCACCCCUCCUCAGCCUGGGUUGAGAUGAUAGCCUUGCCUUCCCACCCCAGAGGGGCUUCUUCCCUCAGAGGGUCUGGGAGGAUCCGGGAGAGAAUGGCAAACCUAGCCUGGAUAGUCUAGAUGGAAACCACCUUCCCUGACACUGGGCCUCGAGCCCUGAGGUUCUGUGGUACAGGAUAUACAGUAUAGGACUGAGCAAGGAAAGGAAAGGAAGACAGGGAAGGGAAGAAGGGAGCCCACUGUUUGGUGAAGGUGUACCAUAGGGCAGGUACCAAACUCAGAAGGCCUCAGAUCCCAGCAGCAGAUCCUGUUCCCAUAUUUGUUUGGGACAAGAGAGUCUUACAGGAGCUGGCAAGGGAUUCCCACAUUCUAAGCACCGGGAGGACAGAGUGGGACAAGGCAUGAGCUAAAAGUGACAAGGUACCCAAGGCAGAGGCAAACACUUGCCAGCUGGGUUGCUGUGUCCUAGUCCCAACUUUUGGGACAAUUGAGGAACUCAGUGAUGAGGAAGGUCACACAAGUUUCAAUUAACUGAGCAAAAAAGACCACACCUCCUUGUGCCGCCCAGGUCCCAGUGUGGGCUCGUGGUGACAGCAGCUUCCAGCCACUCCUCUGGCAUUUGAAGUGCAGCUCAGGCAGUCAGUGGCUUCUGAAGAGAAGUCAGGUAUACUCUGUCCACAUAUACCUUCCUGCCAUGGGGCUUCACCAAACGUCAGGAUUCCCCAGCCCUUGGUUCCUCUCACCCCUCUAUCCCAGGCAGGGUCAAUGAGAGGUGGGCAGAGAUGGCUUGCAGGGGGUGAUGGUAUUAAGAUGGGAGGGAAGACCACAUCAGACCUUUAGAGAAUGGUACCUUUCUCCACCUUGUGACACAAACCUCCUUGAGGUCAAAGGUCUUUAAGGUUAGACACAGAUCUAAGUUGUGGACACUGGUGGGUGUUCAUUCCCUUGUUCUGGGGUUGAGGAGAUGUGCAGACUGUGGACAAGUGUGUACCAGGCAAGACCAAUUCUGUUUACAACAGUUUGAAGCAAACUUGGCCUUGGGGUUCUCAGGGCAGCAGGGCAGGGUGGGACAGGGCAGGGCAAAGCAGGGCAGGCCUGGUGAGUCGAAAGAAAGCAGAACAAGAACAGUGGCGACAGUGUGCAGACACAGGACAUCAGCUUCAGACAAUGCAACAGCAGGGGUGUUCUGGGCACAGUUCUGAUAAAACUGCCCCAACUCUCUUGCCUCCAGGCAGGAGGCCUGGUACAUGCAACUCAGUCCCGAAGAAAUUCUAGUGAGUCCAAGCCCAGGGACAUCCCCGGCAGGCGGAGCUCUUCCAGAGGCUCAGGAAAACAGGCAUUUGGGCAUUAGUUCAGGUUCCCGCUCCACAAUAAGGCAACUUUUAAAAAAAUAUUAUUUCCAAAAACAGAACAGAAGAAAAAUUCCAAGGAGGGGGAAAGACAUCACUUUCUAUGGAUUAGGUGGGUUCUGAUUUUUUUUUUUUUGUCAUUUUUAAAAAGUGGUCGAUUUUGUUUUUUUCUUUCUUCUUUUAUCUUUCUUUUUCUUUUUUUUGUUUUUUUUUUUGGUUUUGUUUUGUUUUUGUUUGUUUUUUUUUUUUUUGUUUUUUUGUUUUCUGUUUUCCCAAGGAUGGAAAAGGUCAGAGAAAAAAAUAAAAUGAAUCAUCUUUCAAUAGUCUCUUCUGGUGUGAGCAGCAUCUCUGGGGUGGGGCGAGGGGGUGAGGGGGGAGAGGCUGAAGCUCCCCAACCCCCACUGAGAUCCUUUGGUUUCCUUCCCCCAGAGGUGGCAGAAGGGCAUGUGGAACAGCAGGGACACGGUGAUGGCAAACCCCAGGUGAUCAAGGGGCUGGUGCUUCUAGGGCCCAUGGG